rnacentral:rRNA from 1 species
AGUGGGUUGUACCAGAAGUAGAUAGCUUAACUGAAAGGGGGGCGUUUACCACGGUAUGAUUCAUGACUGGGGUGAAGUCGUAACAAGGUAACCGUAGGGGAACCUGCGGUUGGAUCACCUCCUUACCUGAAUGAAG